rfam:Gossypium arboreum cultivar AKA8401 contig_5611_7, whole genome shotgun sequence.
AAUCCAUGGUGCGGGCAUUUCUAGAUCAUUGUUUUAAAAUGUUCCUGGGCAUCGUGAAAACUUUCCCCUUCCAAUUGUUUAAAAACAACAAUUUCUCUUCUUAGUUG